rnacentral:rRNA from 1 species
GACGAACGCUGGCGGCGUGCUUAACACAUGCAAGUCGAACGGAAAGGCCCUGCUUUUGUGGGGUGCUCGAGUGGCGAACGGGUGAGUAACACGUGAGUAACCUGCCCUUGACUUUGGGAUAACUUCAGGAAACUGGGGCUAAUACCGGAUAGGAGCUCCUGCUGCAUGGUGGGGGUUGGAAAGUUUCGGCGGUUGGGGAUGGACUCGCGGCUUAUCAGCUUGUUGGUGGGGUAGUGGCGUACCAAGGCUUUGACGGGUAGCCGGCCUGAGAGGGUGACCGGCCACAUUGGGACUGAGAUACGGCCCAGACUCCUACGGGAGGCAGCAGUGGGGAAUAGUGCACAAUGGGCGGAAGCCUGAUGCAGCAACGCCGCGUGCGGGAUGACGGCCUUCGGGUUGUAAACCGCUUUCGCCUGGGACGAAGCGUGAUUGACGGUAAUGGGUAAAGAAGCACCGGCUAACUACGUG